GUUUGAUCCUGGCUCAGAUUGAACGCUGGCGGCAUGCCUUACACAUGCAAGUCGAACGGUAACGCGGGGCAACCUGGCGACGAGUGGCGAACGGGUGAGUAACGCAUCGGAACGCACCCCAGUAGUGGGGGAUAGCCCGGCGAAAGCCGGAUUAAUACCGCAUACGACCUAAGGGUGAAAGCGGGGAUCGCAAGACCUCGCGCUAUUGGAGCGGCCGAUGUCAGAUUAGGUAGUUGGUGGGGUAAAGGCCUACCAAGCCUGCGAUCUGUAGCUGGUCUGAGAGGGCGACCAGCCACACUGGGACUGAGACACGGCCCAGACUCCUACGGGAGGCAGCAGUGGGGAAUUUUGGACAUGGGGAACCCUGAUCCAGCCAUGCCGCGUGCGGGAAGAAGGCCUUCGGUUGUAACGACUUUCGUUCUAGGGAAGAAAAGGACG
rnacentral:rRNA from 1 species